CCAUAAUGGCCUCAUCACUGACAAUAAUGCUUGCAUAUUAGCACGGCUUUGACAAAGCUAGCUUAGCUUUACUAUGGACACAGCACUUGGACAUUGUCUCGCCCAAACUCAGAACCCUGUUCUUAAUUGUUUCUUUUUAAUUCAGUUAAAUUACUGCUAAAGUCUCGGAAUGGGGGUUGUUUUAUUUCAUAAUUCCAAGUUUUAACCCGUCCUGUGUCUCUGGCUGAUAUGGACCAGGCGUCAGACAGCUCUGAUGGUUUACAGCCUCAGGAACACUCCGCCUCGUGCAACCUCCCGCGUGUUUUCGACCUGACGAAGAACGGCGAAGAAUGUCUAUUGAAAACCAAUGCGAUCGAGGCCUUGCAUAUCGUCCAGCCACCGGGCUGGUAUCUGAGUUCCGGGACCAACGGUUCGGUGCUUCCAGCAGACCAGAGCGAUCCCUCGAUGCAGGCCGGCGAUCAGAUCCAACCCGACAACGCGCUUUCCAACACCACUGUCACGCUCUCGUACGUGACCAGGUCCCACGUCUUUUCAGCUCACGACUCGCUCUCGCAGCAUUCGCAGAUUUACGGCGUCCCGAUAAGUAAGGCGUUUUCGCUCCACCCUACGGCGUACGAUGCCAGCCAGCUGGUCAGCGAUGCAGCUGGAGCGCCGCUGUGCGUUGACGUGGACCAACACUGCCUGCAGCAGGUGUCCGUGCCUGUUGGCUUAGCCGCAUGCGCCAGUCCGUUUGAUUUCGUCACGCCGGCGCAGGUUGUCGAGAACGUCGCGAGUCUCUGUUAUCUCCAGCAAGCGCACAACAUCACCGGCAUACAAGACGUCGAGAGCCUUGCUCUGGAAACGCUCCGAUCUUUGCAGCAGAACGGCCCGACUGAAUGCAAGAUUCCUCUAAACCUGGACGAGCUUCAGAACGGUGCUGUUGGAAGCUUGUGGAACGCCGGAUCCAUGGACGAACGCUUCCCAGCCGAACGCGGCGACGACGUGGCGGACCAGCACAAGAACGGCAACCCUGAAGUUCUCUUCCUGAUCUCCAGGACUGACGAACCGGUCAUUUUACCGAACGAUCCGGAGCCAGCAGGGCUCGCUGUUUCAUUAAAUCAAGAACUUAUAAGUGCACUGGAAGAUUCCAUGUCACCCCCCUUUGCCUCACUGAUUGAGGUAAAGGAUGUUGCCAUUCUGCACCAGCCUGCAGGAUAUGAAAUUGAAGAGAAUGCUUUUGCUGAAGAGACAAACACUAGGCAAGAUCAUGUGGAAUCUGAUCCUCUGACGAGUCUUGACGAGAGAGAUUCGUCAUCUGGCACUGACGCGUUAAUUACGACCGUUAGCACAGAACUAACGGACCACACCAUUGACACAGCCACGGCAAUAGAGCCCGAUCCGGCAUUGUCAGAGGUACAGAAAGAGGACCCACGUGGUCAUAAAACGCAUUCGCCUAGACGUUUGUUUGCCAGGAAGGAAACUUUAGUCAGAAAAGAACUCCCUCCAAGAACUAGAAGAGGAAUGAGGUUAGAGGCCAUUGUUCAGAAUAUCUUCCCUUCUAGGUACAAAUCCGGUCAUAUCUCUUCUGCAAAAAAAUCUCAGCGUUCCCAACCAGAUGAGUCCGCUCGUCUGGGAUCUAGCCAACAAGUGUCAAUAGGCGACAACGGCAGCCAUUUAAAGGCUGAAUGUCCUUCGAAGGUUGUGGCUGAAACGAAUGAAACGGCCGUUCGAUCGCAGGAAGUGUCCGAAGAAACGGAUGUCGCUAAAUCAAAUAAAAUAUCUACCUCAUGUUCUGCAGCUGCUUCGAAACAUUCACCAGACAUUCCCUCCCUGGGGAGGUCCCCCAAACCCAUCAAGAAAUCAAGGAAACAAGCGAAAACCAAUACCUCGUUAAGGAUGAGAAAACGGACCGCGCGACCUACAUCGAAACACAAAAAAAGCUCUUCAAAGCGAUGCCAUUUAAAAACUGCAGGCAGCAAAAGUGCGAAAAAGGAUCCCACCCCAAAAAAGAAAAGGAAAAAGCAUAAAAUGGGUCAGUCUUCCAUGUUCUCGCCUCAGGAGCCCGAAAUAAAGCUAAAAUACAUCUGCUAUAAGGAAGAGAAAAAGGAAAAGAGGGAUGAGACCUUCUCACCUUUCGUCCACGUGGAACUGAAAGCCUAUCCUACCUGUACAGUCAUCAACUACCGUGAUGAAAGUGCCAGGCUGAGCCGAGGGAAGACGCCUGCAUCUGUAGCGCCAGGGAAAAUGCCCACUGCACCGUGUCUGCAGUUCGGACGAGUCUCCACCGAGGGCACACGCUGGGACACUCUCGCGUGCUGCCUUUGCGGAGGCUCUGCUAACGCCAUGGACCUGGGUGACUUGCACGGCCCGUACUAUCCUGAGGGUUUCAAGCCUGAACCAAGGCUGCCUACCAAGUCCAGAGAGGAUGACUCGAGCGACUCGGAUUCAUCAAGCAGUCAGACUCGCAAGCCAUGUCUCAAGCUGCAGGCAGCUUCUCGCGGGACUUAUCAAAGGUGGAGCACUGAUGGGGAGCUUUCAGCUAAGAGAUCCAGAGUGGACACCGUGACGGACUGGUAUUCCCCGCCCAUAGUGCCCUUAGAAGCCAGCGAGUAUUGGCUUCACGAGGACUGUGCCAUUUGGUCAGCCGGAGUUUGUCUCGUCAGGGGGAAGCUUUACGGGCUAGACAGGGCCGUUAAGGUGGCGAAAGAGACGAUUUGCUCGUCUUGCCAUGAAAUGGGAGCCACAUUAGGCUGCUUUUUCAAAGGCUGCCCAAACAAGUAUCACUACAUAUGUGCAAUGCAGUCAGGGUGUGUCUUGUACGAGGAAAACUUCUCAAUGAAGUGCAGGAAGCACAAGAACAAAUCUAUCAAGGGUGUAUCAUCUAACAAACAGAGCAUCAGGUGACAGGGGAAGAAGAUACUGCACAAGGUUACCGUUUUCAACAUACGAAUUGUGGUCAAUAUGUCACUAAAUAUACACUAUAUGGACAAAAGUUUGUGGACACCUCACCGUAAGAUUGAACCAGAAUCCCGUCUGCAGUUCAGCCACUACCCUGCCACGUGACCGACAAGCCUCUCUGGGACUCGGACACCACAAACCUUAAUGCUUUCUCCUGCCGUUUCACUGUCACUACCUUCCUUCUCUUCCUGACUACAGACACGCCAACACAGCUUUGGCAAUGCUUGCGGCUGUUUACACAUGAAGUCUAGCAUCGGAAAAGAUUUCCACAGGAGUAUUCUUAAAGACAAUGGAACGUCAUCUAGAAUUAGGAUUUGCUCGGAAAAAUAAUAACGAGCAUAAACCACCGGAAAUGAACCGGGUGCACUUUCACAGGUCUCGAAAGUGCUCUAUCUAACCCCAGCACAAAGCCAAUUUACUAACAGUACAGUAAAUUCAUGGACUUUUGUAGCGAAAUCGGCUUGGACUUAUUUAUUACGUUCGGGUUCGAUUCGAUCGGAAAUGUACACUUUAAUGAAGGGGGGGCGGGGAGAUUUUGGUCCUUUUUUUUAUUGUUUUGUUUUAUAAAAUUUGUCCAAUUCAGUAGAUCGGACAUCGACACGACAACCAUAAGCUGUUGGCUUGCACUCGUUUUUUUUUAUAUGCGAGUUCUCACUGCUUUAUCUGUCGAUUCCUGUGAAUUCAUUGUGAAUAUUUUUUUUUUCCGCCAAAAAGCCUAAAAUGAGGGAACUGCACAUGUUAAAGACUGAACACCUCACAGAGGUAACAGUAUUGUUUGGAAGUCCCAUAUGAACUCAUCUCAGCUUUUCUUGGAAAAAAAAAAAAAUACUGAAAUAGUACCGGCAAUGCAAUAAGGCCAUUCAUCCUUUUGGUACUAUCAUCAUUAAUACACCGAUCAGACAUAACAAUAAAACUGGUGAAGUGAAUAACACUGAUUGUCUCAUCAUCAUGACACCUGUUAGUGGAUGGUAUUUUUAUUCGGCGACACUUGAACAUUUUCUCCUCAAUGUUGACGUGUUAGAAGCAGGAAGAAUGGGCAAGACGCUUGGGUCUGAGCAUCUCCAAAACUGCAGCUCUUGUGGGCUGUUCCUCGUCUGCAGUGGUCAGUAUCUAUCAAAAGCAGUCCAAAAAGGGAACAGUGAGAAACCGGAGACAGGGUCAGGCAGGUGGCCAUGAUGUUAUGCCUGAUCGGUGUAUGUCCAAUAAACAGCGAGACGUCUACUGCUUGAUUGACAUAUCAGAAACCUUCAUGGAAUUGCCAGUGAUUUUUGUGAUUUUUUUUUAUAUAUGAUAAUAAUAAGCACUCGGUUUUCAUUUCCUUUACUCUGAAUGUCAGCCGGAAAUAACAUACUGCUCAGAUACAAAUCGAUAUCGAUGGGGAACAAUUCACUAAAUAUCACGUUUUCCUGUUUAAAGUUAAUCGCAUACUCUACAUCCGCUUCACGUCGACUCUAUAAGCUUCCGAUCUGGAUUUCUUCACACUGUUGAAUUGCUACGACAAAUCAAGAAGGUUUUUCGUUCUUUUCCUUUCGAGAUCAGACUCGUCUUCGUGAGAUGCGAUGCGUAUCAAUCUCGUCCCUUUUGACCAUAGAAGAAAAACCCCAGUGUUGAUCAUGACCACUUGACCCGCUUUAUGUCGUGUGCCAUAUUUCUCUUGUUUGUAUCUCUGCAUAUGUUGCUGUAAUGUGAUUUUGAUUUAGGACACACAAAAAGCUUUAUAUUACCACAGAAACCAUGUUGGAACGUACCAAAAAAAAUGUUUUGUUUAUUUUCUCUGUCCCACGUUUUUUUUCUCGUCAUGUAUUAUAAGAUCCGAUUCUCAGGGUUGAGCCUUACAUUCUUUGUCAUGUUUGUAUUCCCACAUUUAUUUAUCCACGACUGACUACUAGAACACUGAAGUCAGCACUAAAUAAUAAAUCGUCCUCUUUUAUUUUCUCCAACA